rnacentral:rRNA from 1 species
GACGAACGCUGGCGGCGUGCCUAAUACAUGCAAGUUGAGCGCUGAAGGUUGGUACUUGUACCAACUGGAUGAGCAGCGAACGGGUGAGUAACGCGUGGGGAAUCUGCCUUUGAGCGGGGGACAACAUUUGGAAACGAAUGCUAAUACCGCAUAAAAACUUUAAACACAAGGUUUAAGUUUGAAAGAUGCAAUUGCAUCACUCAAAGAUGAUCCCGCGUUGUAUUAGCUAGUUGGUGAGGUAAAGGCUCACCAAGGCGAUGAUACAUAGCCGACCUGAGAGGGUGAUCGGCCACAUUGGGACUGAGACACGGCCCAAACUCCUACGGGAGGCAGCAGUAGGGAAUCUUCGGCAAUGGACGAAAGUCUGACCGAGCAACGCCGCGUGAGUGAAGAAGGUUUUCGGAUCGUAAAACUCUGUUGGUAGAGAAGAACGUUGGUGAGAGUGGAAAGCUCAUCAAGUGACGGUAACUACCCAGAAAGGGACGGCUAACUACGUG